UACAGAGGGUGCAAGCGUUGUUCGGAAUUAUUGGGCGUAAAGGGAGUGUAGGCGGUUUCUUAAGUCUUCUGUGAAAUCUACGGGCUUAGCCUGUAACGUGCAGAGGAAACUGGGAGACUUGAGUGUCGGAGAGGAUAGGGGAAUACCCAGUGUAGAGGUGAAAUUCGUAGAGAUUGGGUGGAACACCAGUGGCGAAGGCGCCUGUCUGGCUGACAACUGACGCUGAGACUCGAAAGCAUGGGGAGCAAACAGG
rnacentral:rRNA from 1 species